GAUGAACGCUGGCGGCGUGCCUAAUACAUGCAAGUCGAGCGAAUGGAUUAAGAGCUUGCUCUUAUGAAGUUAGCGGCGGACGGGUGAGUAACACGUGGGUAACCUGCCCAUAAGACUGGGAUAACUCCGGGAAACCGGGGCUAAUACCGAAUAACAUUUUGAACCGCAUGGUUCGAAAUUGAAAGGAGGCUUCGGCUGUCACUUAUGGAUGGACCCGCGUCGCAUUAGCUAGUUGGUGAGGUAACGGCUCACUAAGGCAACGAUGCGUAGCCGACCUGAGAGGGUGAUCGGCCACACUGGGACUGAGACACGGCCCAGACUCCUACGGGAGGCAGCAGUAGGGAAUCUUCCGCAAUGGACGAAAGUCUGACGGAGCAACGCCGCGUGAGUGAUGAAGGCUUUCGGGUCGUAAAACUCUGUUGUUAGGGAAGAACAAGUGCUAGUUGAAUAAGCUGGCACCUUGACGGUACCUAACCAGAAAGCCACGGCUAACUACGUGCCAGCCGCCGCAGUAA
rnacentral:rRNA from 1 species